GACGAACGCUGUCGGCGUGCUUAACACAUGCAAUUCGAACGGAAAGGCCCUGCUUUUGUUGGGUGCUCGAGUGGCGAACGGGUGAGUAACACGUGAGUAACCUGCCCUUGACUUUGGGAUAACUUCAGGAAACUGGUGCUAAUACCGGAUAUGAGCUCCUGCUGCAUGGUGGGGGUUGGAAAGUUUCGGCGGUUGGGGAUGGACUCGCGGCUUAUCAGCUUGUUGGUGGGGUAGUGGCUUACCAAGGCUUUGACGGGUAGCCGGCCUGAGAGGGUGACCGGCCACAUUGGGAAUGAGAUACGGCACAGAUUCCUACGGGAGGCAGCAGUGGCGAAUAUUGCACAAUGGGCGGAAGCCUGAUGCAGCAACGCCGCGUGCGGGAUGACGGCCUUCGGGUUGUAAACCGCUUUCGCCUGUGACGAAGAGUGAGUGACGGUAAUGGGUAAAGACGCACCGGCUAACUACGUG
rnacentral:rRNA from 1 species